rnacentral:rRNA from 1 species
GACGAACGCUGGCGGCGUGCUUAACACAUGCAAGUCGAACGAUGAUCUCCCGCUUGCGGGGGUGAUUAGUGGAGAACGGGUGAGAAAUACGUGAGUAACCUGCCCUUGACUCUGGGAUAGGCCUGGGAAACCGGGUCUAAUACUGGAUACUAUUUUCUGCCGCAUGGUGGGGGGUGGAAAGGGUUUUACUGGUUUUGGAUGGGCUCACGUCCUAUCCGCUUGUUGGUGGAGUAAUGGCUCACCAAGUUGACGACGGGUAGCCGGCCUGAGAGGGUGACCGGCCACACUGGGACUGAGACACGGCCCAGACUCCUACGGGAGGCAGCAGUGGGGAAGAUUGCACAAUGGGCGGAAGCCUGAUGCAGCGACGCCGCGUGAGGGAGGACGGCCUUCGGGUUGUAAACCUCUUUCAGCAGGGAAGAAGCCACAAGUGACGGUACCUGCAGAAGAAGCGCCGGCUAACUACGUG